rnacentral:rRNA from 1 species
UACGAAGGGUGCAAGCGUUACUCGGAAUUACUGGGCGUAAAGCGUGCGUAGGUGGUUUGUUAAGUCUGAUGUGAAAGCCCUGGGCUCAACCUGGGAAUUGCAUUGGAUACUGGCAGGCUAGAGUGCGGUAGAGGAUGGCGGAAUUCCCGGUGUAGCAGUGAAAUGCGUAGAUAUGCGGAGGAACACCAGUGGCGAAGGCGGCCUCCUGGUACACUCCUGACACUCAGACGCGAAAGCUAGGGGAGCGAACGGG